rnacentral:rRNA from 1 species
GAUGAACGCUAGCGGCAGGCCUAAUACAUGCAAGUCGGACGGGAUCCAGAUCAAAGCUUGCUUUGGUUUGGUGAGAGUGGCGCACGGGUGCGUAACGCGUGAGCAACCUACCCUUGUCAGGGGGAUAGCCCGGCGAAAGUCGGAUUAAUACCGCAUGACAUCAUUGAGAGGCAUCUUUCGAUGAUCAAAGAUUUAUCGGACAAGGAUGGGCUCGCGUGACAUUAGCUAGUUGGUAAGGUAACGGCUUACCAAGGCUACGAUGGCUAGGGGCUCUGAGAGGAGAAUCCCCCACACUGGUACUGAGACACGGACCAGACUCCUACGGGAGGCAGCAGUAAGGAAUAUUGGUCAAUGGACGGAAGUCUGAACCAGCCAUGCCGCGUGCAGGAAGACGGCCCUAUGGGUUGUAAACUGCUUUUAUACGGGAACAAACGUCGGUACGGGUACCGGUCUGAGUGUACCGUAAGAAUAAGGAUCGGCUAACUCCGUG